GUUGGUCGUCACUGGACAUAGCCGGUUGAGCUGAUAUGAACACACCCAUCUACUCUGAAGGCACCAGUCACACAUAUGCAAGAAAAUUAACAGAGGUACAGCCAUUAACAAAAAGUAAUAUUACAAAUCAUGACCAUGGAACAUAGUGCGGCAGCAAACACAACAUAAGACACCUAUCAGAAACUUAAUCUACAUACAAGAAAUAAAAAACAUCGGCGCUUUAACAGUGCAUGUUCAAGGCCAGCAUUCAGUCACAAUACUACAUGCACAGAGCUUGUCAAAAGAAA
rnacentral:lncRNA from 1 species